GCCCCGUUAGUCUAGCCCGGUCAAUUUUAUAAAUUUAAAAAUAGCUGAGAGGAUGCGGCCCUCUCAAGGCCGAGGCCCGGGUUCAAAUCCCGGACGGGGCA
rnacentral:tRNA from 1 species